rnacentral:piRNA from 1 species
UAGGUGACUGUUUCUUUGCUUUGGAGA